rnacentral:rRNA from 1 species
UACGAGGGGGGCGAGCGUUGUUCGGAAUUAUUGGGCGUAAAGGGUGCGUAGGCGGUUUGGUAAGUCUUGUGUGAAAUCUUCGGGCUCAACUCGAAGUCUGCACGAGAAACUGCCGGGCUUGAGUAUGGGAGAGGUGAGUGGAAUUCCCGGUGUAGCGGUGAAAUGCGUAGAUAUCUGGAGGAACACCGGUGGCGAAGGCGGCGUCCUGGACCAACACUGACACUGAAAAGCGAAAGCCAGGGGAGCAAACAGG